GAACUGUUAGCUUAAUUUGGUAGAGUUUUCGUCUUUUAAGCGAAUGGUUCUGAGUUCGAUUCUCAGGCAGUUUA
rfam:Babesia microti strain RI apicoplast complete genome